rnacentral:rRNA from 1 species
GAGGGGGGCCGUUGGUGACCAGCGGAGGGAUCAUUACCGAGUUUACAACUCCCAAACCCCUGUGAACAUACCAAUUGUUGCCUCGGCGGAUCAGCCCGCUCCCGGUAAAACGGGACGGCCCGCCAGAGGACCCCUAAACUCUGUUUCUAUAUGUAACUUCUGAGUAAAACCAUAAAUAAAUCAAAACUUUCAACAACGGAUCUCUUGGUUCUGGCAUCGAUGAAGAACGCAGCAAAAUGCGAUAAGUAAUGUGAAUUGCAGAAUUCAGUGAAUCAUCGAAUCUUUGAACGCACAUUGCGCCCGCCAGUAUUCUGGCGGGCAUGCCUGUUCGAGCGUCAUUUCAACCCUCAAGCCCCCGGGUUUGGUGUUGGGGAUCGGCGAGCCCUUGCGGCAAGCCGGCCCCGAAAUCUAGUGGCGGUCUCGCUGCAGCUUCCAUUGCGUAGUAGUAAAACCCUCGCAACUGGUACGCGGCGCGGCCAAGCCGUUAAACCCCCAACUUCUGAAUGUUGACCUCGGAUCAGGUAGGAAUACCCGCUGAACUUAA